GAUGAAGAACGUAGCGAAAUGCGAUAAGUAGUGUGAAUUGCAGAAUUCAGUGAAUCAUCGAAUCUUUGAACGCACAUUGCGCCCCUUGGUAUUCCAUGGGGCAUGCCUGUUCGAGCGUCAUCUACACCCUCAAGCUCUGCUUGGUGUUGGGCGUCUGUCCCGCCCCCGCGCGUGGACUCGCCCCAAAUCCAUUGGCAGCGUUCCUUGCCCCCUCUCGCGCAGCACAUUGCGCUUCUCGAGGGCGGCUCCGGGACGCGAUCCAGCAAGAUGACCACCGUCUUUGACCUCGGAUCAGGUAGGGAUACCCGCUGAACUUAAGCAUAUCAAUAAGCGAGGA
rnacentral:misc_RNA from 1 species